CUCUUAUUCCGAGUAGGUGGAGGGACAGGCCCUAUGAAACCCAGCAACCGACACUUCAACACCAACAGCACGCUCGUGCAGUGAAGUGAAAAGGUGCUAACCUGCAAGGUGAAUGAACCUUGAACAAUAAGAG
rnacentral:ncRNA from 2 species